AUGGGGAGAGCCACGCGCUGGCCUGGAGCAUCGACCUCAAGGAGACUGGUCUCUGUGCUGACUUCCACCCGAGUGGGGCAGUUGUGGCCGUAGGACUGAACACGGGGAGGUGAGAGGGAGCCAGGACUCCCAGGAGGGAAAGCAGGGAGGUCUGGGAAGGGUUCCUGGUACUGGGGGAGUGGGCGAGAGUGACCGCCUCUACCCAGGAGCCACCUGUGCCUUGGCACUCCUCUGUGCCUCUCCCUGCAGCCCCUGCCACCCGGGCUCCCCUCCUCUCCUGUGGUAACUGUUUCUCCCCCUCCCCCAACCAGUGUCUCCUCCAAGCCUGGGAGUGGAGGAGGCAGCAGCCCAGGAUAGAGAAACAGUGGGAAUGGGAGGAGCAUAGACAAACACAGGGAAGUGACAGGCUUCCAGCUUGCACAGUGCCUUUGUAGUAGGCCCCUGGUCUGUAGUUUCAGAUUCCUUUUUCAGACAUCAGAAGCCCCUCAGCCUUUAUCCACACUUAGCUCC
rnacentral:sRNA from 1 species